UGGAGGCAAUCCAGGCAGCAAAAAAAUAAUAAAUAAAGUCAACAAAUAAAGUUGGGCAUGGAACUAUGUAUUCUGCAAGAUACUUGUGCUGCAAUACACACACAAGGAAUGCACAACUGAACACGCCGAAGCUUGCAGUGAAGAUAUGAUCUUAGUCAAUCUCACGCUUCAAAAAAACUGAGAUUUCUUAUAAUUUUGGGAUGCUACCUUUUAAUGAACUAAGGCAUCAACUGACGUUUCUAUUAUGGAGAUAAGAGAAUAAUCUAACUCUAGAAGCAAAAGGAGCAGAAAGUGAUCAAGAAACUUAAUCAUGUCAUAUUAGCA
rnacentral:misc_RNA from 1 species